GAUGAACGCUGGCGGCGUGCUUAACACAUGCAAGUCGAACGGAGAUCAUUUUAAUGAGGCUUCGGCGGAUUUGAUCUGAUCUUAGUGGCGGACGGGUGAGUAACGCGUGGGUAACCUGCCUUAUACAGGGGAUAACAGCCGGAAACGGCUGCUAAUACCGCAUAAGCGCACAGAGGUCGCAUGCUUCAGUGUGAAAACUCCGGUGGUAUAAGAUGGACCCGCGUUGGAUUAGCUAGUUGGCAGGGCAGCGGCCUACCAAGGCGACGAUCCAUAGCCGGGCCUGACGAGGGUGGACGGCCACAUUGGGACUGAGACACGGGCCCAGGACU
rnacentral:rRNA from 1 species